UCAAAGAGAAGUGGAAGAGCCACCUUGCCAAUUGGCACGCAUGCAUGAAGCUUUGGGAGGAAUAAAAUGUUCUCUUUAUAAAUGGGUAACUAAAAAGGUGGGAGUCCUUUUUUCCCCAUUCUUCAUUUUCUCUCCUAAGGAUUUUUAGCUUACACAAGUUCUCUCAAGAACCAACACUUUCUUAUAACUUUCUCACCACCCAAACAAUAUCGUUCCACUUCUUGUAAGUCAACAAUGACAAGGAGGAUACCCUACACCAUUUGGCUAGGGAAGAAUCUAAAGGAGAUCUUUGCUACUAUUAAUCAUUGGACUUUUAAUGGUGAAAGUUGUGACAAGUUUAGAUGAAAAAAAGGAAACCUCACUCCCUUCAGAGAGGAUAGUGCUGAAACUAGAGACUAACUCUUCUGAGCCCUCGAUCCCCGAACUUCUGGAAUCCAUCAACAAGACCCUUAUAGAAGCCUUGCAUCUCACUGAUGAGCUUAAGUGACUCAGGAAUGUAAUCAACAAUUGGUUCCUUGAGAAGAAGAUUAAGCCAGAGAGGCUUUAGUAUUUUGGUGAUAGAAACUUAAGGGUAUUUUUAUAAAGACAAUAUUUUGGAUGGUCCCUUGUUUUGGGGAAAAAGGUUUCAACUAUUAACUCUUUUGGAAACUUAUUAUGAAAGUACUAUCUUUU